AACGAACGCUGGCGGCAUGCCUAACACAUGCAGUCGAACGAGACCUUCGGGUCUAGUGGCGCACGGGUGCGUUACGCGUGGGAACCUGCCCUUAGGUUCGGAAUAACCCCCCGAAAGGGGUGCUAAUACCGGAUAAUGUCUUCGGACCAAAGAUUUAUCGCCUUUGGAUGGGCCCGCGUUGGAUUAGCUAGUUGGUAGGGUAAAAGCCUACCAAGGCGACGAUCCAUAGCUGGUCUGAGAGGAUGAUCAGCCACACUGGGACUGAGACACGGCCCAGACUCCUACGGGAGGCAGCAGUGGGGAAUAUUGGACAAUGGGCGAAAGCCUGAUCCAGCAAUGCCGCGUGAGUGAUGAAGGCCUUAGGGUUGUAAAGCUCUUUUACCCGGGAUGAUAAUGACAGUACCGGGAGAAUAAGCUCCCGCUAACUCCGUG
rnacentral:rRNA from 1 species